UUGUAAACAAACAUAAGGCAAGACGACUACUAGUAAAACAAGCCAGCUAGCAAUAAUACGAAUUAUCGUUGAGCAGCUCGCUCGGGGAGGGAAGAAGCGGGACGGAUGAAUGAUUGCCAGCCGAGAGGAGGAGGCGGAUGUUUGAAGACGUUAAACCGACACCAGGAAACACAACCACAAUCACCGCGGAGAUUUAUUUAGUAAGGACCGAGAACUAAAUACCGCAUCUUCAGUCAUUUUGUUGGUUAAAAUGGCGAUAUAUGAGGGCAACGUUACACAGGGGAGCCGUCGACGCGAAAGAGAGCACGCACAGGGCGAAAGCAUAAGCCAUAAGAAAAUAAUGGCUCACAAUCAUCUUAAGAGUAUCAGUUUAUGGAAUCUGAAUUGAACUAAUGUUACACAGGUAUCAUUACCUUUAGCGAAAACAUCCAUUUCAUUGAGCACAGCACGACGGUGACCACCAUCACGUGAUUUAAAGAAAGAUGAUCCAAAAAGGGAGAGCCUUACCUUUUGGAAGACUUUCAAGCAAUAUACAUAUAUAUAUAUAUAUAUAUAUAUAUAUAUAUACACAUGCACCUUGCAAGCGUUGCCUCUCGGUUUGCUCCCAAAUGUAUAAUUCCUCUACCGAUGUCUCCUUUAAAUAAGGAAAUCCCCACUAGACUAGAAUCGUCCUCACCGAAAAUCUGGUUCAGGCGCAAUGCAAGACGUGUCAAUCAUCGCCAUGACCCGCCCCAUACAGUAAAAAAUGUCUUGUAUCACUCUCCCAUUGGCUGACAGGCAUUACUGUAUUAAAAGGUGUGAUAUGAUUGGUCAGUCAACUUAGAGGGGGUUGUUCCACGCGUAUGUGGCUUUGCUUAGUGUGGCGCUCUAGCACCUCCUAAGGAACACUGAUUGUCACUGCAGCCUGUUUGAUGAUACUUGACAUUACAACACAGCAGAAUUGAGCUAAUAAUAAAACAAUACAUUUUCCACAGAAUCCUCAAACAGAAUAGCAAUGGUUAUGAAGAUAUAUGGAAAGCGAUUUUUUUUCCCACUUCACCACUCGCUGUCUGUCACACACAGCCAGAUUACAGGAGCUUAAUUGGUUUAUAAUGGAAGGCCAAUUGGUGUUUACAUCCUCGUCGUAAGACAAGACAUAAUCAAGUAAAAAUCCCAAAUGACAUUUAAUAUCAUAAAAAAACAAAUGUGUGAGGAUAAGCAUGAUAUAAUUAUCUUAAAUGCAUGUUUAGCGUACAAAGAGAAGCGAGUAUGGGUUGGGUUUUUUUGCAGUGGACUCACCAUUUGUUGAGCAUUGUACAUUCAGCAGAUGAGCACAGGCGUUCAGGCAUAAACAAAAGGACAGACAAUCAGAAACAUUAGUAUUUUAUAUGCUGCAUCUGCUAAAAUUGCAAAAACGGUUACAUGCAAAACAAUAGUGUAAAAGUGAGGCAAAAGGUCAAUUUUUGUUAUGUUUUCAUGCAAUAUGGCUUAUUCUUGGUGAUACACAUGACUAAUACCUAGUCUAUUCAUGACUAACACACAUUUUUCUUAGCGUGAUAGCAAACCACCUCAAUAUCAAGGUGUGUGAAAACGUAGCUAAAGUUUACUUAUAGACACUCAGGAGCAAACAAAAUACUACCCCCUUGUCAUCUUUGUAGCCUUUAAGUGUGUUUAAAACCACUGUAUUUAACACAGGCCUAGUUAUUCACAUAGCUUUUACAUGUAUUGUGACAAUGCCAGGCAGAUCAUGCACAAUGAAGUACAAAAUGUGACAGUUGUAGUACUUACACAUGCACUAAAGUUAAAAACUAAAGCAUACAGAGCUCUGCAAAUAAUCCCUGGGGCAUGUCUACUUGUCUACAACAGACAUAAACAAUGUUAAAUACAAGAGUACCUGCUUGUCAGAGGUCCUUCAUUGCAAGAAUAGUUCCCACACAGAGAUUAGCACAGUAGAUACAACUAAUAAGCCUGCCCUGAUCUGGAAGGAUCUCCACUCCCUCUGCCCCUUUUUGUCCCCCCCCCCCCCCCCUAACCCUCUCUCCUCCCCGUAUAACAACACCCAUAGGCGUCAACGCCAACCACACUUUCAGCUGUAAACCCACAGAUUUGUGCAGCGAGUGACACCCCAAACUGUCCUUCCUUCAACGCCGGGAAGCGCACUCAAGUCAUGCUGGCGGCAGAUCACGGCAGCACAGAUUCUCUUAAGGGGAGGGGUGGGAGGAUUAGUAGUGGUUAGAGUUCUCCUGAGGGGAAUUACCCCGACGCUGCCAUCUGGACAUCGGCCAUGCUUGCCCGUGUUCAGCCAUCCCUGGAGGAACAGGCGUCUUAUCACGCAGCUAUGUUCAAAAGAAUCUUUGUUUAAAAGGCAGUAAAUUUGGCGGCAAGCAGAAUGAACCGCAGCCUGAGAUUGAUGAUGCCCUGAUGCUACUGAGACAUGCUGGUGCCAAUAGAUGCCUGCUAGCAGGAAAAGAGCCUUUCUCAGUAAUAUUUAGUAGGAUUUAGCAUGAAAAUAAAGGGAACACAAAAUAAUCAUUUAAACUCCAAGUCAAUUUUAAUACUUUUGACCCUCUGAAAAUAGAGGUACUUUUACUCCCUAAAAAUGUCACGGCGCAUGCGCAAUCCCACACGUCAUCUGCAGCAAGCUUUGCCGGCACCUCCACUAGAGGCGCGCCAGGACACGCCCCUGCUCGCUCUGCACGCAUCGCGGCCACACGCCAGCAAGGCUGCAGGCAAUCCUAUAUCUGCGCACCUGGGGCUAAUGAAGACAGACGGCAUAAAGACCAGCGGACCCGAAGAUCCAGUGCCGGAACGUAGUUCACUCCCGUACCCCGACCGUUUGCCUGCCCAAGGACUGCCUUCUCGCCUAACCCCUUUGGUCUGAUGAAGGAUUCAUCCAACAUGCACAUACAACAACCUCUGGUAACAUUCACA